UGAGAUGUUGGGUUAAGUCCCGCAACGAGCGCAACCCUUGUUACCAGUUGCUACCAUUUAGUUGAGCACUCUGGUGAGACCGCCUCGGAUAACGGGGAGGAAGGCGGGGAUGACGUCAAGUCCUCAUGGCCUUUAUGUCCAGGGCUACACACGUGCUACAAUGGCCGGUACAAACCGUCGCAAACCCGUGAGGGGGAGCUAAUCGGAAAAAGCCGGCCUCAGUUCGGAUUGGAGUCUGCAACUCGACUCCAUGAAGCUGGAAUCGCUAGUAAUCGCGGAUCAGAAUGCCGCGGUGAAUACGUUCCCGGGCCUUGUACACACCGCCCGUCACAUCACGAAAGUGGGUUGCACUAGAAGCCGGUGCGCUAACCGCAAGGAAGCAGCCGUCCAAGGUGUAAUUCAUGAUUGGGGUGAAGUCGUAACAAGGUAA
rnacentral:rRNA from 1 species